AAUCCGUGGUGAGGACAACGUUAAAUCAAAUUUUUAUAUCUUUCCCACGCUUCAUAUAUUGACUCAAAAUCAUUUCACUUGAAUUGAACAAUCUCACUCGUGAGU